UACGUAGGGGGCGAGCGUUGUCCGGAUUUAUUGGGCGUAAAGAGCUCGUAGGCGGUCUGUCGCGUCGGCUGUGAAAUCCCGAGGCUCAACCUCGGGUCUGCAGUCGAUACGGGCAAACUGGAGUGUUGCAGGGGAGACUGGAAUUCCUGGUGUAGCGGUGAAAUGCGCAGAUAUCAGGAGGAACACCGGUGGCGAAGGCGGGUCUCUGGGCAACAACUGACGCUGAGGAGCGAAAGCGUGGGGAGCGAACAGG
rnacentral:rRNA from 1 species